GAUGUUAGCAAAAAGUCCUUUUAUGCAACCUCUUGUAGAACCGGUAGUGGGGUCACUAUAAUAAAAACAAUAUCCAGAAAUCUUCCGGUAUGACAAGAUAUCCAGGGAAGAAAUUAGCUGCAUUUUUCAUGGAAUGGAAUUCAGACGAAACCCACACCGAAAAACUAGAAAAAUGAUUGUAAUGAGAUUGAGGAACUACAAAGAAUACAUAUUAUAUACAUAUUUUUUCAAACAAAAAUAUGAAUUAUAUUUAUAUGUUUUUAUUGUAUUUGUUCGUUUCCUAAUUAUGUGAUACAAAUAAACAACAAACUUG